UACGUAGGGACCAAGCGUUGUUCGGAUUUACUGGGCGUAAAGGGCGCGUAGGCGGCUCUACAAGUCACUUGUGAAAUCUCCGGGCUUAACUCGGAACGGUCAAGUGAUACUGUCGAGCUAGAGUACAGAAGGGGCAACUGGAAUUCUCGGUGUAGCGGUGAAAUGCGUAGAUAUCGAGAGGAACACCUGCGGCGAAGGCGGGUUGCUGGGCUGAUACUGACGCUGAGGCGCGAAAGCCAGGGGAGCGAACGGG
rnacentral:rRNA from 1 species